rnacentral:rRNA from 1 species
UGGGGAAUAUUGCACAAUGGGCGCAAGCCUGAUGCAGCCAUGCCGCGUGUGUGAAGAAGGCCUUCGGGUUGUAAAGCACUUUCAGCGAGGAGGAAGGUGGUGAACUUAAUACGUUCAUCAAUUGACGUUACUCGCAGAAGAAGCACCGGCUAACUCCGUGCCAGCAGCCGCGGUAAUACGGAGGGUGCAAGCGUUAAUCGGAAUUACUAGGCGUAAAGCGCACGCAGGCGGUUUGUUAAGUCAGAUGUGAAAUCCCCGGGCUCAACCUGGGAACUGCAUUUGAAACUGGCAAGCUAGAGUCUCGUAGAGGGGGGUAGAAAUUCCAGGUGUAGCGGUGAAAUGCGUAGAGAUCUGGAGGAAUACCGGUGGCGAAAGGCGGCCCCCUGGACGAAGACUGACGCUCAGGUGCGAAAAGCGUGGGGAGCAAAACAGGAUUAGAUACCCUGGUAGUCCACGCUGUAAAACGAUGUCGAUUUUGGAGGUUGUGCCCCUUGAGGCGUGGCUUCCGGAGCUAACGCGUUAAAUCGACCGCCUGGGGAGUACGG